CAUCAUACUUGGCUACCAAGGUGAGGUCUCUCAUGGAAUAGCAUUGCAUAUGGUUACCCAGGAGAUUAGGUAGACUUUGGAUAGCACCACACCAGCUUGCCAAGGAGAUGAGGCAGAUAAGAGUGCAGCAUCCAGUGUGGUCUUUAAAUGAUAACAAAGUCAUUUAAGUGUAACUUAAAAUGUAAUCCUCAUAUAGAGAGAUUUACUACAUUGUGUCAGCACUAGGGGAGCAGAAAGAAGCCAGGUCUGGAGAUCAGGAUGCUGAGGAAUGGCAAGGUGAGUUCAUGGUAACCAUACACGGUUAUCAAGGAGAGGAUACCUCCUAGGCAGCAAUCAAGGAGAUGAUGGAGUGAAAUGGAAUAUCGUGCAUGGUUUUUAAGAAAAUCGUCCCACAGCUACAAGUAAAAAAAAAAAAAAAAGACGACUAUGAUAACUUCCUGUCUGAAGUGCAAAAACAGCAAAUAGUAGUCUUGAUGACAUGCGAACGGCUGGCUAAAUAACUGGGCCAAGAUCAUGUGUAUCAUUUUCACAUGUUCUGUUAAUUCUACCUGGAUUCAUGACAAGAGACCACAGCCAACCAACUAACAAGGCACACUUUGGACGAGGAGAAGAUCAGAGACAGACAUUUAGGAUGGGUAGUACAAAUCUGCCACGAUAGUAGGAAAAAUCUCAAAGUGCCUGCUUCGCUGACUGGAGAGGAAGUGUCCUCUUUUCAUAAGAAGGUCAUCAAAUGAUAAGGAGCUUGAUCUAAAACUGUAACGCCAGCACGUGAAAAGUACACUAAGGUUAUAAUACAUUGGAUGUGUAAUCAAAUAAUAAUUUCAGAGCAUAUUUCUUAGCAAAAGAAAGUUAAAGGCAGGGAGACGUUGUGCUGAGCCUCAUUGAGACUGCCUCUAAUCAAAGUUCAACAAAUGAACAGAGAGAAUAAAGAAAAAUAACAUGCCUUUUAUUUUUUUUAAAGAUCUUGUAAUAAUUAACAUUGUUUGAUCUGAUUCAAUUAACAUUGUGUUACUACAUAGUUUCUUUAAACUCGGGAGAUCAGAAACAACAUUUAAAAAUGCCAACUAUCCUCUCUGUCUCAAAAAUAAAUAAAACAUU